AGAGUUUGAUCCUGGCUCAGAAUCAACGCUGGCGGCGUGCCUAACACAUGCAAGUCGAACGAGAAAGUGGAGCAAUCCAUGAGUAAAGUGGCGACCGGGUGAGUAACACGUGACUAACCUACCCUAGAGUGGGGGAUAACCUCGGGAAACCGGGGCUAAUACCGCAUAACAUCACGAGGGGAAGAUCCUUGUGAUCAAAGGAGCAAUUCGCUCAAGGAGGGGGUCGCGGCUGAUUAGCUAGUUGGUGAGGUAACGGCUCACCAAGGCUAAGAUCAGUAGCCGGCCUGAGAGGGCGCACGGCCACACUGGAACUGAAACACGGUCCAGACUCCUACGGGAGGCAGCAGUGGGGAAUUUUGCGCAAUGGGGGAAACCCUGACGCAGCAACGCCGCGUGGAGGAUGAAGUCCCUUGGGAUGUAAACUCCUUUCGAUCGGGACGAUUAUGACGGUACCGGAAGAAGAAGCACCGGCUAACUCUGUGCCAGCAGCCGCGGUAAUACAGAGGGUGCAAGCGUUGUUCGGAAUUAUUGGGCGUAAAGGGCGCGUAGGCGGUGCGGUAAGACUGUGGUGAAAUCUCCGGGCUCAACUCGGAAAUUGCCGCGGUGACUGCCGUGCUCGAGUGUGGGAGAGGUGAGUGGAAUUCCCGGUGUAGCGGUGAAAUGCGUAGAUAUCGGGAGGAACACCUGUGGCGAAAGCGGCUCACUGGACCACAACUGACGCUGAGGCGCGAAAGCUAGGGGAGCAAACAGGAUUAGAUACCCUGGUAGUCCUAGCCCUAAACGAUGAUUGCUUGGUGUGUCGGGUACCCAAUCCCGACGUGCCGCAGCUAACGCGAUAAGCAAUCCGCCUGGGGAGUACGGUCGCAGACUGAAACUCAAAGGAAUUGACGGGGCCCGCACAGCGGUGAGCAUGUGGUUCAAUCGACGCACGCGAGACUACUGGCUCGAAAUGGAUGGACCGGGUGGAAACAUCCCUUCCCGCAGGCUGCUCUAUAGUGCUGCAUGCUGUCG
rnacentral:rRNA from 1 species